rnacentral:rRNA from 1 species
ACGUAGGGUGCAAGCGUUGUCCGGAUUUACUGGGCGUAAAGAGCGCGUAGGCGGCUCGUUAAGUGAGAAGUGAAAGCUCUGGGCUCAACCCAGAAACCGCUUUUCAUACUGGCAAGCUGGAGUGAUGCAGAGGUGGAUAGAAUUCCCGGUGUAGCGGUGAAAUGCGUUGAUAUCGGGAGGAAUACCCGUGGCGAAGGCGGCCAUCUGGACGGUAACUGACGCUGAGACGCGAAAGCGUGGGUAGCAAACAGGA